rnacentral:pre_miRNA from 1 species
CAGUAACCCUCAAAGGCUUCCUAGACUCCAUGUUACGGUCAAAUCAAUUAAUCGUUGAUUAGGAAUAAUUAAGAGUUUCGGAAGUAACUUUGGGGGUUAACUG